AGUGGCAACUCUCCUUUAUCCGGGCUGGGGUCUGGCAACAAGAGCACAAAAUUCUCACAAGUGUAAUGUAAUAGACUAUUACGUAGGUUGAUUAUAAUCAAGCAUUAUCUAAUAGCUAUUACAUAAAAUUUCUAGGAGCCAACUUCAUUCUAUGGAUUAUAGUUAAUAAUUUCUAACAUCUAUUAACUAAUAAUAUCUUUGUGACAUGUUAUUCUGUAAUAGUAAUGGUGGCCGUUACCACUGUUUUAACUAUCGAUGAUACCGGCCAAUAUAUCCCACGAUAUAUCUUGUAUCCCACUUGUGCGAUACGAAACACACAUGUAUUGCCGAUAUAUCUUACAUGUUCGAUCCAGUGAGCAUUUUGAAUUUUGGAUCUUUAAAAAAAAAAAAAAAACAUUAUGUUCGAUGUCAAAUGGUUAUAAAUCCAUUGGUUCUUCAUGUUUUGCAUGAAAAAUCAUGGAGUCAGAGCUUUGAUUUCGAUAUCCAUUGGUUCUUCAUGUUCUCUAUUUUUUUUUUUUUUUUUGAAAAUUUCCUUCAACCAGUUAUCAAAUAAGACUAAUUUCGAAGUAUUUGAUGAAAUGAUCAGCACAUACACUCUAAUUUCAACAUUUGAGUGUAGGUGGUCUGAUUUGCGAAAAAUUCAAAUUUUUUUUUUUCCAAUUUCUCCCAAAUUGCUUGCAAUGUUGCACUACAAACAUGAAAUCAAACAUGUAUGAGGGUUGAUCUAUUGGUUUGUUAAGUCCUCGUCAAUUUUCAGAAAAUAAAAAUAAUUUUUAAAGUAAAAAUUAAUAGAAUAUUAUUAAAAUAUUAUUUUUUCUUCGAAAUUCCCUUCAACUAGCUGUCAAUUGAGACUAAUUUCGAAGUAUUUACGAGCGUUUGAUGAAAUGAUCACACAUACACUCUAAAUGUCGUGUAUUCAAUAUGAAUAUAGUUGCAUUAGUGAAGUUAGAUAGCGCAUUGAAACCUAUUACGUGCACUUCUUUUUUGUGAUAUUAUUAUUUAGAAGUGUGUAUUAAGGUCUUUUUUAACAAUCCCUGAAGUUUCAUUGAAAAAUUCAACUAUUUUCCUAAUGUUUCCCAAAAAGUUCGAUAAAUUACCUAAUACAAACGAUAUAUCCCGUGCGAUAACCUAUAUGUAUCUGUAUCCCAAGGAUACGAUACAUAACGCGAUACCGAUAUUUCAAACACUGGCCGUAAUGGCCACCACUGUUACUGUUACAAUAUGGAUUGUAAAAGGCAUUAUGGUUCAUUUUUUUUGUAACAGCGAUUACGACCAUUAUGAUCCUAUAAUGCGUAAUGAUUGCCACCGUUACCAUUACGUAACAGCUGUUAUGAUGCACCUUUCUUUUGAGUAAUUUAGUGCAGUAUUACUUAUUAGAAAGAAAUCUAUAAAAAUAUUAGGAUGUAACUUUCUAUAACUAUGCCUACAUAAAACUAAGGCAAAAAAAAAAAAAAAAAGAAAAAAAAGAAAGAAAGAAAGGAAAAGAAUUUGGGUAAAAAAGUAGUAAAGUUGUAAAUAGUUUGUUAAACCAUGAAUAGUCUUAUGAGAAAUUAUAGGUUCAUGAUACAUGUAUCUUGGUUCAUUGAAUCCAUGUCAAUGGAUCAAUUCACCAAAGUAAUUUUCUAAUUAAUAGAUCCUAUACGUCUAAUCUUUGGCCCUUUUCUCUAGACCAUGAUUGUAGCUUUUCUAUAAGUGGCUAUUUGCAAGCCAUUGAUUAAAGGGAUGGAAUAUUUUAGGCUAUCAUACCUUUGAGGUAUUCCUAUCCAUUAGGGGGGAAGAAUAGGACCACUUAAAAUUUUGCUAAUUAAAACACAAUUACCUAACUUAAACUAAUUUACUAAUUGAACUAAGGCAAUUUAAUGCUAAGGCUUCCAAGCCAAUAGUAGGUCCAAUCACAUAAACUACACAAGAUAUAUCAAUUAGGAACCUAGUUUAUAAAUGAUAGUGUACAUGUGUGUGGAAUGUGUCAACUAUUCCAAUCCUAGCAUUCGUCUAAUCAUGCAUACAUAUAAUUCAACUAAACAACCACAUAAGUAUAAUUAGAAAUGUGCUCCAUUGACAAUUCGAAACACAAGCAUUUAUAGUGGUUUGGUUUCCCUAUUCCACUCCCGGCGGACGCACUCUCCUUGAGUGUACUGGUAUUCACUAUUGAAGGUUUUAGAUUAGGUUCACCUUUAACCUUUACAACCCUACACAAGGACCUAACGUAUACUCCCAUUGGAGGCUUCCGCAAGAGACUUUAGUUGGUCUUUUAUCGGCUAACUAACAACCUCUCUCCUAGUCCAAAAACCUACGUUUGCUCCCAUCGGAGGCUCUCGCGGAGAUUAACACGUACACACCCGUGUCCGGUGAAUUCGACCCUACAUAAGAACCUAGAUUCUACACAAGAACCUAUUGAGUUUGGGUAACAAACUCUUACCCUCAAUCCCACACAAGGAAAGAGAGUAUGGACUCAUGCAUGACACUUAUCGAAUCGAGCUCCAUUGAUGCGUCGUUCUUCAAAGCUCUCCCAUGCUUGAAUCCGCUCCUCAAUUGCUCCCUUGAUUGAUGAUGCCGAUGCUUGCCUAUGCUUCAGCUCAAAGAUCAAACAUCUUGCAUGCGAUGUUCCAUUGAGGUAACUGAGGUGAUGGGAGGUUGGUAGAAUCUCUUACAACUAAUAGGAUAGUUGAAAUCCUACGGGAUUCGCCUAGUUUCUAGGAAGAUGACUUGGAACUCAUGGGAUUAGAGGUCUAGUAUGCGUGGUUUGAGUGAGAAAACAUCUAGCCUUCUAUUGCACUAAAAACUUCUUGAAAUGCUCAAAUACCGAAUACCCUAUAUAUAGGAACUAAGUUCCAACGGUAAAAAAAGGGGCAAAAACGGCUCUUGUUGAUCGAUCGACCGAGCUAUCGAUCGAUCGAACAUAAUUCGAAAUUGGCCAGAUAUGUUGCCCGACAGUUUUGACCCUGUUUGAUCGCUCAAGGUUGAUUGAUCGAUCGAUCAACCGAUCGAUCGAAAAUCACUCGAUCGAAAAUUGCUUGAUGGCUUUUAAUUUGGCCAUAUAUGUCAUCGGGCAAUUUUGGCCUUGUUUGAUCGCUCGAGCCCGAUCAAUCGAGGGUCGCUCGAUCGAUCGAUUGAUGAUCGCUGGAUGGCUGCUGUUUGGGCAGUUUGUUUCACAUCAGCCCACACCUCUUUUUCCCUUACUUAUCCUGUUCUAAUUUUGGCUUCUAAGGGUAUGGAUGAUCAAACAAGGUUUACCUAUAAAGGUUGGAAUCAUCUAGAGGCUAAAUGUUGUUUUGGGUCAAGGGUAAGGGUCACCAAGGCACUUCAUAUACCUGUUCUUUGCUUCUUGUUGCUCAUGUCCUUUUGUGUCUUCAGUCUUCAGCUUCCAAGGGCUCAACUGACUCCCUGCCACAUGGACUCACGUGAUUGACAGACAAGGUGCACAAAUAAGUGUACUAACAAUAUUUGUCUCAUGCCUUAGUCUUUGCUCAAUUACUCUCUGUCAUAGUAUGGCUCAUAAGUUUAAGCCCAUGAUAGUAGCGUGUAGCUCCAGUCCAAACACUAAAUAUACAUGAUACAAUUUUAUAUACGAAUUGAUAUUCGUAAAUUAUAUAUGAAAUAAGGAAAUUUUUUGUCAUUAAAUAAGGCUUUAUUUGAAAGGGAAGUCCAAAGGCGCAUUACAAUGCAAGUGCAUUACAAAGGAGCACCAGCCAAUGAGAAGCUACUACUUCAAGGCUGCUUGGGGUGAAAAGGCUUGAGAUCUCCACUGCAAACAAGAUGUUUUACUCGAAAGACAAUGGCGGGGAUUGUGGCAGCUUAUGCCAUUGAAUCAAGGAUUUUUCCUUUCCUCCCUUUAUAACCCAAAGGAUAGCUGCAAAAUAUAGCCUCCAUAAUACUCUUCCCUUUUGCCUAAAGGGACCAAGACUCCAUGCUUCAAAAAGGAGAUGAAUAAAGCUUAUGCCUCUUUAAAUUGAUGAACACACCAAUUCCUAAUGGCCCUGGUGAAAGAACAAUGGAUGAGCAGAUGAUCCAAGCUUUUUGCUUCAUUCAAUCACAUGUAACAUGCAUUUACUAUGAUGAAAUUUCUCUGCAGAAAGCAAAGCUAAGCAAUAUGCAGGCACAUAUCAUCGGAAAUGGAUAGUUUUUGGUUCAUGGAUUAAAUUGAGAAUUGCUGCUUGCUAGCAAUCCCAUAACCAAAUGAGCCUGUCCUCCCUGGAAGUAGCAAUCCUCAGGAUUAAAACGUCCCCGUGGGAAUAGACGUCAAAGAGAAGAAUCACUUUUGCCUUCAAACAAAUGGGAAUCAAGGUGAGAGCCAUGGCCGAGUACGAACGAUUGGGAGUCGAGUUCUAGAAGUAUCAUGUUUGGAACGUGGGAGAGCUUGACUUGGGGAUGGGAAAGCCUAAGAGAUGAAUAGAAGCUGAUUUUGGAUUAAUCAACACAUAGCAUUUGUUGGCAGGAUGGAUAACGUCUUAUUAUUAUGAGCGGUGCUUGCCAAUUCGAGAUACUCAUGGGUUGGCGGGCUUAUGCACAAUUUCCUUUGAUUUUCCCAUAGGACGGUGUCUCAAAACAAAGGGGAAAUUGCGUUAGGGCAUCUGAUCAUUAAUGAAUUGGGCCCUUUCAUAUUAUUAUUUCUAAUUGAAAAUUACACUCAUAAAAAACUUACGUUGCUUUGCAGCUACCAAACGGGCCCUGAGUCUUUUCAAUGUUUUCCAUGAUGAAUGUUGCUAGUAUGCUCCUUUGCAUGUGCUCCAUUGUCUUGAAAUUGUAGCUAAAAAAUUCAUUCCAUAUUGAACGUGACUAAAAUGGUUAAAUGGGUUUAUUUGGAGAAAAGCAUGUCAGUCACUAAAGAUUAUACUUAAAAUACAUAAGAAUGAAAAAAUGCUUAAAAAACAUAAAAAUGAAAAAGGGCAUUAACAUUAAAUCAAAGAGAAAUUGACCACUAAUGUAUAUUACCGACAAAAAACCAUUUCUCAUGACAUUGGUGAGAUAAAGAAAAGCCGAACAUGGAUCUAAAGUCCCCUAAUGAAAUUCAUUGCUAGAUAGAGGGUGGUAGGGAUGAAGAAAGAGAGAUUUGAUUUGGGCUUGUUAGAUUUUUAACAUGUUUUAGGUUAGUUAUAGAACUGUUUUGGAUAUGUUUGUGGGUAGUUAUCAAUCGGUUCAUCUGUGUGUAGUGUGAUUUAGUGAGAGUGGUGUGGGAGUUAUGUGUGCAUGAGCAUGAUAUUUUAUAAUGGUAAUGGCUAGUACUGUUACAAAUUUUUUUUUUUUUUGGGUUGGGAAAAACCUUGUAUCAGCCUUGUAACGGCUUGUUUUUCAUGUAACAGCUGUUACAACCAUUAUGCCUCCGUAACGUGUAACGGUGGCCACCAUUACCAUUACGUCAUUGCUUUUGUGUACCUCCUGUUACCAUUACGUCAUUGCUUUUGCGUGUCUCGCAUGUGUGUGUGUGUGUGUGUGAGAGAGAGAGAGAGAGAGAGAGAGAGAGAGAGAGAGAGAGAGGAGUUUCUAUUUGUGCUUUCCAAAAAACAUUGUUUCUACAAAAUAGUUCGAUUGAAGAAAAAACCUUUCCCUUGGUUGGUUUUCAACAAGAUUAUCUUAAAAACUUUUCCUCCAUUUCUAAAUUUUGUUUGAAAAAAAGAGAGUUGUUCGUGAAAAUUUACUUGAAAAUUGAAGGCCACAUGCGUGCGUUAAAGAUGGAUUAUGGCACUUGUCGCAUGUGACACUUUGGGACAUGUGAGGCAUUGGCACACGUUGGUUGCUUGAAGAUGGAUGGCGGCACAUUCGAGUGCUUAAAGAUGGAUGGCGACACAUUUGGCACAUGUGGGGUGCUUGAAGACGAGGGUGACUCAGUGGGGCUUCUGGUAAACUGGCAUGUGGGGCUCAUGAUUAUGAAGUCGUGCGGUGGUACUUUUUGUGCACAUGGCACAUUGGCAUAUGUAUGGUGCUUUAAGAUGGAUGGUGGCACAUGGGCAUAUAUAUGGUGCUUUUAAGAUGGAUGGUGGCACAUGGGGCACAUUCGCACAUGUGGGCCACUUGAAGUUGGAUAUUUGUGUGGGGCACUUGAAGGUGGUUAGGAGGCACAUGUUGCAAAUGUUGCUCAUGUGAAACACUUAAGGAUGGUCAAAGGCCACGUGGCACGUAUGGGUUAAUAGCAUGUGGAAAUUGGCACAUGUGGGGUGCUAGAAGAUGAGGGUGGAAUAUGUUGACACGGCACAUUGGGAUGUGUAGCACAUUGACACGUGAUGCAUUAAAAGAUGGACAGUGGCACAUGUUUCACAUUUGGCAUAUUGGCGUUGGUACGAUUCUUCAAGAUGGUUACACAUGUUGUACAUGUGGCAUAUUUUUUUGGGGCACUUGAAGAUGGAUGGUUGCACAUGUAGGCAAUGUUUUAAAUAGUGAAUUGCACGUAGCAUAGCGCUCAUCCCUCUGAAGUGUGAGGCGUAAGCUAUGCUACAUGCUACUAGAUUUUUAUUCAAGGUUGCACUUGGUUUCACCAAGUUCAUGAUAUUUUGAACCAAAUUAUAGUGAUUAAUAAUGAAAUUUAACAAAACCGCAUGACAUUUGGUGCAACCAAAUUCAACUUAAAGUGAUAGGAAAGGACAAUAACUAAGUAUAAAGGUAAAGAAGAGCAAUGAAACUGAUUAAAUAUUGUUACUUAUAUUAUUUUACUAAAAGCGUUGAAAAGAUUAUCUUUUUUUUUUUUUUUUUUUUAAAUAUUGAAAAUAGAAAAAUGUAACAAAUUAAUGAAAAUUUAAUUGUUUUUAAUGUUGUAGUGAAAAAUAACUUGUAUUGAAGCUACAUAGUGUGUAAGGUAUAGUUUGUAGCAUGUAGUGCAGGUUACAUGUGACUUAAGCUAUUUUAAUGAGCUACGUAGCGUAGAGCGUUAAGGAGACACUACACUACAUAGCGUAAUCUACACGCUACAUAGCGUAGCUAUUUAAAGCAUUGCAUGUAGGAUGCUUAGAAGAUGGAUGGUGCUACUGCUACAUGUGACUAUCAUAUAGAGCACUUUUUAUUCCCUCAAUUGCUUGGAAAUGAUGCUUCUUAAGCACGGGCA